rnacentral:rRNA from 1 species
AACGAACGCUGGCGGCAUGCCUAGCACAUGCAAGUCGAACGAGAUCUUCGGGUCUAGUGGCGCACGGGUGCGUAACGCGUGGGAAUCUGCCCUUUGGUUCGGAAUAACAGUUGGAAACGACUGCUAAUACCGGAUGAUGACGAAAGUCCAAAGAUUUAUCGCCAGAGGAUGAGCCCGCGUAGGAUUAGCUAGUUGGUGUGGUAAAGGCGCACCAAGGCGACGAUCCUUAGCUGGUCUGAGAGGAUGAUCAGCCACACUGGGAUUGAGACACGGCCCAGACUCCUACGGGAGGCAGCAGUGGGGAAUAUUGGACAGUGGGCGAAAGCCUGAUCCAGCAAUGCCGCGUGAGUGAUGAAGGCCUUAGGGUUGUAAAGCUCUUUUACCCGGGAUGAUAAUGACAGUACCGGGAGAAUAAGCUCCGGCUAACUCCGUGCCAGCCGCCGCGGUAACAC